AAUCUCUUCUUGGAGAUUGCUCCUUGUGGAGUUUUUGUGAGCCUACAACACUGAGGAGUUGAAGCACUGGUGAAGGUUGGACGGGGAGCUGGUGGAUGUUCAUCCUUGGAAUCCUCGGAGAUGCUCAGACCUUAACUGGGUGAGGUCCUGAGCAAGCUGCUCUAGCCUGGAGGCCACCCCUACUCUGAGCAGGGGUUUGCAGCAACUGACCUCCAAAAGCGUGGCGACACCAGAAUAACUGUACUGACCUCUGUGAACGUUAUUGAAAGGAGAGCAGAAAGCAUAAUCCUUUCCUGAAGGUCACAAAACAGUGCUGAAAGCCAGAUGCAGUCUGAAAAGGAGUCCACAGUGGCCCCUGGUGGUGUCAGUGACAAGGUCCCUUGGGUGUGAUCCAAACGUACUCCAGGAUCUCAUGGGAAAAGGCUGGGAAGGUGGAAAGGUGCGUUACUUAAUGUGAAACCAUAAGCUCUCCCAGGACCACGAUUACCUGCCAUAAUUUAUGAUCUCCGUGUGCACUGUUGUGGGCACUGUCUCUGGUGCCUCCUUCACUGCGGCGGACCCUCACCAUACAUACCCAGUUUGUUGCGUGAGAAUUUACCGUGGCUAUUAUGGGCACUGUCCGACUUUCUCUCUUGGAGAACUCUUGCAUGAAUUAUUGAGCGGACAGCAGCCUGAUCGCAUCAUCUGCCAGUGGAAUUCACGUCAAGAAGUGCAUUCUCUCUUCAGAUCACUUCCAAUGGGAAAGAAUCUUUGAACUUUGUACUGCCAGUACAGAAAGAAGCAGAAAUGGCUUUGAGAUAAAGUUGUCUCAAAUGCUGCAGAAAAUGUACAUGUAGUUAUGCUUCAGUUUGGAAAGCCUUAUGGGUAUUACAGUGGAAAGAAU
ensembl:lncRNA